rnacentral:sRNA from 1 species
CCCUAGCCCCGAUAGCAGCGGCAUCCUUUUAUAAAAAAUCCCAUUCGCUCAGAAUGGGAUUUUUUGUAAAAGAUAUAGCGUAUAGCGGGAUAAAGC